UGGGGAAUAUUGGACAAUGGGCGCAAGCCUGAUCCAGCCAUGCCGCGUGAGUGAUGAAGGGCCCUAGGGUUGUAAAGCUCUUUCACCGGUGACGAUAAUGACGGUAACCGGAGAAGAAGCCCCGGCUAACUUCGUGCCAGCAGCCGCGGUAAUACGAAGGGGGCCUAGCGUUGUUCGGAAUUACUGGGCGUAAAGCGCACGUAGGCGGAUAUUUAAGUCAGGGGUGAAUCCCGGGGCUCAACCCCGGAACGGCCUUUGAUACUGGAUGUCUUGAGUCCGGAAGAGGUGAGUGGAAUUGCGAGUGUAGAGGUGAAAUUCCGUAGAUAUUCGCAGGAACACCAGUGGCGAAGGCGGCUCACUGGUCCGGAACUGACGCUGAGGUNCGAAGCNU
rnacentral:rRNA from 1 species